rnacentral:tRNA from 1 species
GGCACUAUGGCCGAGUGGUUAGGCAAAGGUCUGCAAAACCUUUCACAGUAGUUCGAUUCUACUUAGUGCCU